rnacentral:rRNA from 1 species
UACGAAGGUGGCAAGCGUUGUUCGGAUUCACUGGGCGUACAGGGAGCGUAGGCGGUUGGGUAAGCCCUCCGUGAAAUCUCCGGGCCUAACCCGGAAAGUGCAGAGGGGACUGCUCAGCUAGAGGAUGGGAGAGGAGCGCGGAAUUCCCGGUGUAGCGGUGAAAUGCGUAGAGAUCGGGAGGAAGGCCGGUGGCGAAGGCGGCGCUCUGGAACAUUUCUGACGCUGAGGCUCGAAAGCGUGGGGAGCAAACAGGAUUAGAUACCCUGGUAGUCCACGCCUUAAACUAUGGAUACUAAGUGUCGGCGGUUUACCGCCGGUGCCGCAGCUAACGCAAUAAGUAUCCCGCCUGGGAAGUACGGCCGCAAGGUUG